rnacentral:rRNA from 1 species
GACGAACGCUGGCGGCGUGCUUAACACAUGCAAGUCGAACGGAAAGGCCCUGCUUUUGUGGGGUGCUCGAGUGGCGAACGGGUGAGUAAAACGUGAGUAACAUGCCCUUGACUUUGGGAUAACUUCAGGAAACUGGGGCUAAUACCGGAUAGGAGCUCCUGCUGCAUGGUGGGGGUUGGAAAGUUUCGGCGGUGGGGGAUGGACUCGCGGCUUAUCAGCUUGUUGGUGGGGUAGUGGCUUACCAAGGUUUUGACGGGUAGCCGGCCUGGGAGGGUGACCGGCCACAAUGGGACUGAGAUACGGCCCAGACUCCUACGGGAGGCAACAGUGGGGAAUAUUACACAAUGGGCGGAAGCCUGAUGCAGCGACGCCGCGUGCGGGAUGACGGCCUUCGGGUUGUAAACCGCUUUCGCCUGUGACGAAGCGUGAGUGACGGUAACGGGUAAGAAAGCACCGGCUAACUACGUG